UACGAAGGGGGCUAGCGUUGUUCGGAUUUACUGGGCGUAAAGCGCACGUAGGCGGAUUGUUAAGUCGGGGGUGAAAUCCUGGAGCUCAACUUCAGAAUUGCCUUCGAUACUGGCUUUCUAGAGGCUGGAAGAGGUUAGUGGAAUUCCCAGUGUAGAGGUGAAAUGCGUAGAUAUCGGAAGGAACACCAGUGGCGAAAGCGGCUUCCUGGUCCAGCACCGACGUUCAGGCACGAAAGCGUGGGGAGCAAACAGG
rnacentral:rRNA from 1 species